GUACAACUUUAUCAAAGAGAGGCUGAAACAAGAGUCUGCUGUAGAUUUCAACAAGUUCAUUUUAUCUAAAGUAUUAUUUAACAAUUUCUGUGAUGGCAAACUGGCAAAGAAUUGCAGUCUUCUUGAUCACAUAUUUCUGGGGAUGUGAUUCUCUGGACAGAGUUGAACAAAAUCAGAGAGUUCAAACUGCUGUUGAAGGUGCAGCUGUAACAAUCAACUGUCAAUAUGAAUCCACUAAUGUUUCACCAAAUCUUUUCUGGUACCAGCAAAAAGUGAAUGGAUUUCCAGAAUACAUGCUGGGCAGAUUUGGUACGAAUGAUAAGCAGUUCGAAGAUAGAUUUAGCAGCGAUCUCGACACAACUACAAAAUCAUUUUCACUGACAAUCCAGGAUCUGGAUGUGUCAGACUCUGCUCUGUAUUACUGUGCUCUGAGGCCCACAGUCACAGGAAACACAAGAACACUGUACAAAAACCUGAUACAGCUGAAGGUGUUCAACUAAUUUCCUUCCAUAAAAAUCUAUUUGAAUUAAAGUUAGAUUAUGAAUUCAUAAAUGAUAAAUAUAUGAAGGUGAAAACUAUAGUUGCAGCAGUUGUAUGAUAAAGUAUGCCUUUCUUUCUGGACACUAAUAAUGAU